CUAGCUACCCUAGUCGCCCCAGCCACCUUCAUCUCCUUCCCCUGCACCUGCUGCGCGUGCCCCGGCCGCCGCCGACCGAGCCCCGGCCGGCCAACCACCGCGGCAGCCACCUUUCUUCCUCCCUCUCCAUCUCUCUCUCUCUCCAGCUAUCCCUCUCUUUCUCUCGGGUUGGAGCCAGGCCGAGGCUGCAGUUGCCUCCCGGCCCUUCACCGGCGUCGCCCCGUACUCCGGCAAGCCUCCCCGUCGACUGCCGCCGCCUCCUCGCGCCGCUGCUGCAGCCUGCAGCUCCCCAACCCGAGCCCAGGCCGAGGCAAGCCUGCGGGCCUGUUCUCUGCGCCGCCGCCAGCGUGGACCACCUCGGCCGACUUCCCGGAGCCCCGGCGUCCUUCCCCGCCUCCAGCCGCCGUCGCCGAACGCCGCCGCCGCGCUGCAGUCGC
rnacentral:lncRNA from 1 species